UACUGAAGAAGAGGGGG
rnacentral:rRNA from 1 species